AUUGAACGCUGGCGGCAUGCUCUACACAUGCAAGUCGAACGGUAACAGGCCGCAAGGUGCUGACGAGUGGCGAACGGGUGAGUAAUGCAUCGGAACGUGCCCAGUCGUGGGGGAUAACUACUCGAAAGAGUAGCUAAUACCGCAUACGAUCUAUGGAUGAAAGCGGGGGACCGUAAGGCCUCGCGCGAUUGGAGCGGCCGAUGUCAAAUUAGGUAGUUGGUGGGGUAAAGGCUCACCAAGCCAACGAUCUGUAGCUGGUCUGAGAGGACGACCAGCCACACUGGGACUGAGACACGGCCCAGACUCCUACGGGAGGCAGCAGUGGGGAAUUUUGGGCAAUGGGCGCAAGCCUGAUCCAGCAAUGCCGCGUGCAGGAAGAAGGCCUUCGGGUUGUAAACUGCUUUUGUACGGAACGAAACGGCUCUGGUUAAUACCCGGGGCUAAUGACGGUACCGUAAGAAUAAGCACCGGCUAACUACGUG
rnacentral:rRNA from 1 species